CACAACGUGUCCUCAAUGACACUUUGCUGGAGCUUAAAGAGUUGAUGCAGACCGGCUUGAAGUGGGGAGACACAACGUGUCCUCAAUGACACUUUGCUGGAGCUUAAAGAGUUGAUGCAGACCGGCUUGAAGUGGGGAGACACAACGUGUCCUCAAUGACACUUUGCUGGAGCUUAAAGAGUUGAUGCAGACCGGCUUGAAGUGGGGAGACACAACACUGCAAGUGGAAGUUUGUUCUGUAACAUGUGAUGCCCCUGCAAAAGCCAUGGUAAAAUGCAUAAAGAUGUAUUCUGGCUACUAUGGCUGUGACGGGUGCACUCGUGUUGUGCUUACCAUCUUGCACAGCCUGUAGCAAGCCCCAUUUAGCUACAGCCAAGUUCACAAGCUGUAUUAGUUAUGCAAACUAUCUUGGCUGGUAAAUCAAGAGACUGAACAGUGUGGAAUUGGUGUUUUGUUUUUCUGCACAGGGCAUACAGCAUUAUUAUGUUGUAUAUUUUGUCAAAGAGAACAAUGUUGAAGUUGUACCAGAGCAGUGGGUGGAGAAGAGAGAUGGGGUCCUGUGUUGCUACUGGCCAAGAAAUGCCAUUAAGAGAGGAGACCGGCCUGACAAAAUAUUAUGGGAGUGGUACAGAAUUUCCAUCUUUUCAUCAACUGACAAUUACUCUGUGGCAGAGCAACGAGCCAAACGGGGGGUUGACACCUCCAAUGUUGAAUCUGACGAGGAACCAGCGAAGAGGGCGGUGACUAAACCAAUCAGAUUCCGUGUAGAGCCACCUGAUGAUGAUGGAAGUGAAGCACUCCAGAAAAAGACAAAUGAACCCAGACAAGCCCAGCGUACAGUGCCACAGCUUCCACCAGCCCCUAGUGUAACUUCAAGAGCCAGUGUCUUUGAAAAGACCCUACAACAAGUUGCAGAUGCAGAGGACUUGAGGCCAUGUGCCACCUCAAGCCAGAGCGACAGUAAGUGUCUGGUUGUAGUUUUAGGGUAAACAAUUAGUUUUAAGGUAAACAAUUGAAUUGUAUGA